UACGAAGGGGGCUAGCGUUGCUCGGAAUCACUGGGCGUAAAGCGCACGUAGGCGGUCUCUUAAGUCGGUGGUGAAAUCCUGGAGCUCAACUCCAGAACUGCCUUCGAUACUGAGAGUCUUGAGUCCGGGAGAGGUGAGUGGAACUGCGAGUGUAGAGGUGAAAUUCGUAGAUAUUCGCAAGAACACCAGUGGCGAAGGCGGCUCACUGGCUCGGUACUGACGCUGAGGUGCGAAAGCGUGGGGAGCAAACAGG
rnacentral:rRNA from 1 species